rnacentral:misc_RNA from 1 species
CCUCCUUUCUAAGGAAAUCGAAAAUAUUAAAACAAUUAUUUUCGAUUUAAAAAAAGCGGUAAUGUGACCGUCCUCAUUUCUCUUCUUUUAAUGUCUCUGAGUAUGAAUUAAGGGGCCGGUAGCUCAGUUGGUUAGAGCGCACCCCUGAUAAGGGUGAGGUCGGAAGUUCGAGUCUUCCUCGGCCCACCAAUAUUAGGGGGGAUUAGCUCAGCUGGGAGAGCGCCUGAUUUGCAUUCAGGAGGUCAGCGGUUCGAUCCCGCUAUCCUCCACCAAAUAUGAGAUAUUUAGCUUUUUUAAAUUGUAAAUAUUAUUAUCAAUAUCUAUAUCCNAUUGUUUUCAGAAAUUUUUUGAAAACAAUCAAAACAAAAAUUUAAUUUAUUACAGAAAAAAUUUUUUUCUGUGCAUAAAUCAAGCGUUUAAGGGCGAUUGGCGGAUGCCUUGGCACUGUAAGACGAUUAAGGACGUGGUAUACUGCGAUAAGUUUCGGGGAGCCGUAUGCAGGCUUUGAUCCGAAAAUUUCCGAAUGGGG